UACGUAGGGUGCGAGCGUUUAAUCGGAAUUACUGGGCGUAAAGCGUGCGCAGGCGGUCUGUUAAGACCGAUGUGAAAUCCCCGGGCUCAACCUGGGAAUUGCAUUGGAUACUGGCAGGCUAGAGUGCAGUAGAGGCAAGCGGAAUUCCAGGUGUAGCGGUGAAAUGCGUAGAUAUCUGGAAGAACACCGGUGGCGAAGGCGGCCUGCUGGGCAGUAGCUGACGCUGAGGCACGAAAGCGUGGGGAGCAAACAGG
rnacentral:rRNA from 1 species